GUCAGCAGUAAGUGCUGUGAAGAAAAGAACACAGGUGCUCUGGUGUAUUGGGAGGUCAGAGGCCGAGAAGGCCUGGUGUGUUAAUUUUCUAGGGCUGCCGGCUCGAAUCACCACCAGCUGUGUGGCUUAACACAAUUAGAGCUUCAUUUUCUAUUCGCAGAAAUCAAGUGAUUAAUUACGUUUUGGAGGCUAGAGUCCAAAAUCAAGGUAUUGACAGAGCUGCGCUCCCUCUGAAGGUCCUGGGGAAGAACCCUUCCUUGCGUCUUCCCCGCGCGGGGUGGUCCUGGCAACGCCGGACACGCAUGUCUGUGGAGCACGGGACAGCGCGUGAGUGGCACCGGUAAAGGCCACUGCCCCGAGGAAGAACGGAGAUCAGAGGGACUCGGACACAAGAUCCGGCUCUUGGGAAGAGAGGUUGCAGCAGAUGCAUGAACUAGAGAGGACACGUUAGUACCACGUGCUGGCCCCUUGUAGCCUGGAGCUGAUUCCACAGAGGACCUUGCUGUCUGCAAUGUGCUAUCACUUUAAGUCAUGCGUCAAAAUACAGCAGCAAGACAGAAGAUUUCCCCCAGCUCCUAUGCCUUUUAUUUGCAUCAUGGCAUUGAAAACCUUCUUCUCGGUCAGUAUGUAGAUUUAACGAAAUUACCAGAUACAUAAAACAAAUGGUUGUUGGUAUCUUGUUCAAAUACAAACUAGACCUUGCCCGCCUAUCUGUAUAUUUGGCAAAAAGCACAAAUGUAAAUUUUGACAAAUUCUAUUUAGCCUACAAACUUUUUACCCAAGCAAAUGAAAAGAUAUUAUCUGGUAAGUGUUCUGCACACCUUGUACACAGCACUGCUAAAAAAUAAUUGUGUUUGUUUCCUCGUGAUAUUGAAGCUGUUGUGGUUUUUGGAGCUUUAUGGUCACUGUGUAGUUUCUUCAAAAUAUGCAGAAGAACUGAAUGAGAUUUCCGACUUCAUAGAAAUGGACCGAGGCAUGUGCCUCCCAGAUGGCUAUUGUGUGCCAUCUGCCAUAGGAAAAAAUGUCGAACCGCUGGCUUCCUGUAAAACCUUCACUUUCAAAGUGUGAGAAUAUCCUCUAAUUUGGAAACACUUUGAAGGGGAGAGUAGCGAAAAGGACCAAAAUAAAACAGAAAUUUAUAUGCUCUUUCUCCAACAUUGUUCGAUGGUAUGAUGUAGAUUGUGACAAAAGUUUAUACACACAUGCAGACACAGACUCGUGUUGAGGGGAAAUAACACUGCUUUGGAAAGAAAGAAAAUGUUCACAGGAAAGGGCAGCCAAACAGGUGAAAUGGGACUUUUUUUAUUUAUUUACUAAAAGUAUAACUUAUUUAAAAUCAAGUUUUAUUUCACAAGUUCAGAUUACUGCUGUGUUUUUGGGCUCUGCGCUGACAGUGCAAAUGGACCCCGCUUGGGAUUCUCUCUCUCUGCCCUCCCCCAACUUGCUGUCUUUCAAGAUAAAUAAACAAACAAAUAAAAGAAAAGCAAAUUACUGCUGUGUUUUUAUCAAGAUGAGGACAAAUGCAGAAGGAGCAGCUCUGUAGGCUGGAGAGCAGAUCAAGGCAUCUGUGAGCACAUGCCUUUUAGACGUUCAGUGGAGGAGACAUCAGUCACAUCACUGACUACACUCGGUGGGAAAUGGGGUUGGAGGUCUAAGUAUGGGAAGCAUCAGGGCAGAGGGUUCUUACCGU